GAUGAACGCUGGCGGCGUGCUUAACACAUGCAAGUCGAACGGAAAGGCUCCUGCUUGCAGGGGUACUCGAGUGGCGAACGGGUGAGUAACACGUGGGUGAUCUGCCCUGCACUUCGGGAUAAGCCUGGGAAACUGGGUCUAAUACCGGAUAGGACGAUGGUUUGGAUGCCAUUGUGGAAAGUUUUUCGGUGUGGGAUGAGCUCGCGGCCUAUCAGCUUGUUGGUGGGGUAAUGGCCUACCAAGGCGUCGACGGGUAGCCGGCCUGAGAGGGUGUACGGCCACAUUGGGACUGAGAUACGGCCCAGACUCCUACGGGAGGCAGCAGUGGGGAAUAUUGCACAAUGGGCGGAAGCCUGAUGCAGCGACGCCGCGUGGGGGAUGACGGCCUUCGGGUUGUAAACUCCUUUCGCUAGGGACGAAGCGCAAGUGACGGUACCUGGAGAAGAAGCACCGGCUAACUACGUG
rnacentral:rRNA from 1 species